GGGGAAUCUUAGACAAUGGGGGAAACCCUGAUCUAGCCAUGCCGCGUGAGCGAUGAAGGCCUUAGGGUUGUAAAGCUCUUUCAGAUGGGAAGAUAAUGACGGUACCAUCAGAAGAAGCCCCGGCUAACUCCGUGCCAGCAGCCGCGGUAAUACGGAGGGGGCUAGCGUUGUUCGGAAUUACUGGGCGUAAAGCGCGCGUAGGCGGAUUGGAAAGUUGGGGGUGAAAUCCCGGGGCUCAACCUCGGAACUGCCUUCAAAACUCCCAGUCUUGAGUUCGAGAGAGGUGAGUGGAAUUCCGAGUGUAGAGGUGAAAUUCGUAGAUAUUCGGAGGAACACCAGUGGCGAAGGCGGCUCACUGGCUCGAUACUGACGCUGAGGUGCGAAAGCGUGGGGAGCAAAC
rnacentral:rRNA from 1 species